UACGAGGGAUGCAAGCGUUAUCCGGAAUUAUUGGGCGUAAAGCGUUUGUAGGCGGGCGAGUGUGUUUAAUGUUAAAUCUUAAAGCUCAACUUUGAAAUUGCGUUAAAAACUGCUUGUCUUGAGUAUGGUAGGGGUAAAGGGAAUUCCCAGUGUAGCGGUGAAAUGCGUAGAUAUUGGGAAGAACACUAAACAGCGAAGGCACUUUACUAGGCUAAUACUGACGCUGAGAAACGAAAGGUAAGGUAGCGAAACGGAUUAGAUACCCGUGUAGUCUUACCCGUAAACUAUGGACACUAAACGGUAAAUUUUUAAUUUACUGUUAAAGCUAACGCGUUAAGUGUCCCGCCUGGGGAGUAUGCUUGCAAAAGUGAAACUCAAAGGAAUUGACGGGGGCCCGCACAAGCGGUGGAGCAUGUGGUUUAAUUCGACGGUACACGAAGAACCUUACCAGGAUUUGACAUGCUAGAUAGUUGCUUGAAAGAGUAACGUGCCGUAAGGAAUCUAGACACAGGUGGUGCAUGGCUGUCGUCAGUUCGUGUUGUGAAAUGUUGGGUUAAGUCCCGCAACGAACGCAACCCUUGUCUUUAGUUAUUUUCUAAAGAGACUGCCUGUAAUAAACAGGAGGAAGGUAAGGAUGAGGUCAAGUCAUCAUGCCCCUUAUGUCCUGGGCUACACACGUGCUACAAUGGGAAAGACAAUGAGCUGCAAAUCUGUAAAUUUAAACAAAUCUCUUAAACUUUCUCGUAGUUCGGAUUGUGGGCUGCAACUCGCCCACAUGAAGUUGGAAUCGCUAGUAAUCGCCAGUCAGCUAUAUGGCGGUGAAUCCGUUCCCGGGCCU
rnacentral:rRNA from 1 species